ACUCGAUUCGCUUUUGAACAGCGGUGUACAAUGGUGUACAAAUACUAGCAUGGAACCUCGACAUAAUAGACGAUAAAUCUCGAGACGAAAACAGCGAAGACGGGACGAGUGCUAUCAAGGAAUCGCGACACGUAGCAGAUUCUCGAAAGAUAUUUCAUUAGCCGAACGGGACAUUCUCAAGACCAAUGGACAAUGAACGACCGAACGAAGGCUGCCUGGUAUUCUUCAACGCGACAGGAUGCACAAUACCAGUCGGAGAAUAAACGAGGCGACAUUGCUGGCUGCAGUUUACCGGGUUGGAUUAAACAAAUGCAAAAUUCUACUUCCACUGUAAGUACCUGAAACUGACAAUCCGAACGGAAGUCGGUAAAGAAGAGUAAAGAGGCAAGAAAAAAAAA